UACAGAGGUCUCAAGCGUUGUUCGGAUUCAUUGGGCGUAAAGGGUGCGUAGGCGGCGCGGUAAGUCGGGUGUGAAAUCUCGGAGCUUAACUCCGAAACUGCAUUCGAUACUGCCGUGCUUGAGGACUGGAGAGGAGACUGGAAUUUACGGUGUAGCGGUGAAAUGCGUAGAUAUCGAGAGGAACACCGGUGGCGAAGGCGAGUCCCUGGACAACACCUGACACUGAGGCACGAAAGCUAGGGGAGCAAACAGG
rnacentral:rRNA from 1 species